ACUACCAGUGAAAUCCGACCCCAAAAUCCAAGGAAGAUGCCUAAUUUGACUACUCAGCUGGUUGUGUCUCUAAGCUUAUGCUUGUUUCUUCUGAGUUUUUCCUACUCUGCCGAGGCAACUACAAGACAAAUUACUGGGACAAGAACAAAUGAUAUCCAAUGUGAUCGCAUUGGAGAACCAUGUAAAAACGAUCGUAGUUGCAGUACUAAAUGCACACUAGUAGGUUAUACUGGAGGCAUUUGUGUGCGUCAUCAUGAUGAGAAGAUUGAUGUUAACAGAUACAAAGUUGUAAAUCUAUAUGGUUGUUGUUGUACAAAUCCCUCGAGUUGAUGGGUCUCUAGUCUUGUCUUCACGAUGUCCCAAAUAAUACUAAGAAGAAGAAAAUGGUAAUAAAUGACCAAUUCUUCUUUUGAUGGA